UACGAAGGGGGCUAGCGUUGCACGGAAUCACUGGGCGUAAAGCGCACGUAGGCGGAUUGCUAAGUCAGGGGUGAAAUCCUGGAGCUCAACUCCAGAACUGCCUUUGAUACUGGCGAUCUUGAGUCCGGGAGAGGUGAGUGGAACUGCGAGUGUAGAGGUGAAAUUCGUAGAUAUUCGCAAGAACACCAGUGGCGAAGGCGGCUCACUGGCCCGGUACUGACGCUGAGGUGCGAAAGCGUGGGGAGCAAACAGG
rnacentral:rRNA from 1 species